rnacentral:sRNA from 1 species
GCCGGGCGCAGUGGCACAUGCCUAUAAUCCCAGCAGCUCUGGAGGCUGAGACAGGAGGAUCUCGAGUUCAAAGCCAGCCUCAGCAACUGCAAGGCACAGAGCAACUCAGUGAGACCCUGUCUCUA